UUAAGUGAUGAAAAUUCCAUUAAACAUUCGCAGUUUCCUCGGUAGCAUACGUCGAACCCAUCAAUGUAUGCCGGUGACCGCUUAUAGACCUUCCAUGGAUGUCUGAUUAA
rnacentral:snoRNA from 1 species